rnacentral:rRNA from 1 species
AUGGAAAGUGUACUACUUCCUCAAUUGCCCAUACAUCUUGCAGUUCUCUUCAUCCAGCCUCCACAUGUUCGCAUGACUCAUCGAGUCACGUCGCGCCUCCCAACCCCAUUCGCCGCAGCCGCCCCACACCCCACCCCACCGGCAGCUGCACCUUGUUCCGCCACCGUGACAAGGAAGCCGGAGCCCGGAGGUGGAGACUUCGGCGGGUCUACGCGCAGUCCAUCGACGGCUGACAACGAACACCGACGCGAUGCGACGAGGCCGGACCACGACCACAACCACGACCAGCGUCCUCCUCCUUUCUACGGUCUGCAUCUCCGAUGCGAUGCCAACCACCGCCUCGUCAAUGAAUCAUCCACCACCACCGCCGCCGCCCCCAACCAACCAUCCACCGGCGCCGCCCCCACUCCCCCUCCUCCCAACCAUCCACCACCCUCCACUGGACCGCAAGCCACUAUUGUCGCCCCGAAGCAGCAGAUCGAGCGAAGACAAGACGCUGACUCAAAAUUUUUAGGAGCUAGGGGAAAUAGGGUUGUAGUGGCUGAUCUGAGUUGGACCAUCCUCUGCAGCCAACUUCUCUUUGGCAAGAGGAAGAAAGGAGAAUCAGGGUACGGUUUCACCCCUAGAAGAUAUAUUGAUGUACCCCAAGGCUACAAGUACUGCUGGACGAAGAAUCUGAAAAGGAGUUCUCGCGAAUGCCCCGCUCCUAGGGUUCCCUCGCUGCCGCCGGAGCCCGUUGCCGCCGCUAGCCGGAGGCCGCUCCCCUACCCCUCCCCCUCCCCUCCCUUCCCCGUACCCCCGCAUCGCCUCCCCGAGCGAGGCGACCGGGGGCCUCUUCCCCGCUCCUAUCUAGCUCUCCUGCCUCGCCCCUGCCUCCUCCCGCCGCCGCCAGCGAGCGCCGCCGGGCCUUGGCCGCGUGGUGCUGGCGGUGGCGGGCCUGUCUUUCCCUGUGUGUGGCUCCCUCCUGCUCAAAGGGUGGCGGCUGGCGGCGGUGCUCCUCGGCCAUCAUCGGUGUGGCCCGUCGGUGGUGGUGCCGCGGGCCCGGUGGCUCUCGACGCCGCUCCAAAUCUGGGCCCAUUUGGGCCCAUCUGGGUUGGGGCGGGCCGAUGGCUUGGCGCUCGGCAGCGACGUUCCUUGGUGGUGGCGUGGUGGCGAUGGUCUCAGGCGGUGAGGACUUUGUUGGUCGGCGAGCUGCAGCGUGGUGACAUGACUGUCCGGGUCCACGUGGGCCCAACCGGGCAGUUGAGGCCCGGCAGGUCCUCGUCGCCGCAUCCGGUCGGCUCCGCUGUGGCAAUGGAGGCUGUCCCCUCUCUCCGGUCGAGUUGUGGUUGCUCCCGUGGCCGCUGCCUUCUCAUCCGCUCCAUAUCUCAUGUUGACAGCUCCAGUGAGGUGGGGGGCUAUCCGGUAUUCAUGGUGGCACAAGCUGGUGGGUGGCUGAGGGGGUGGUGCAUUGCGAAAUGCCUGGGGUGGUGGUGGUGUUGUGGAUCGGGAGAAACCCCUGUCCGCCUGGCCAGCACUGAUGGAAACCCUAGAACUUGUUCGGGCAACAGUGGCAGCAUCGUCGCAUUCCUUCUUGAAGGUGUUGAUUGGGGCGCGGCGCUUCGGGAUGCUGGGAGGGUGGUGCUUUGGAGUAGCCUGCGCAAAGUAGGAGGACAGCGAGUAGGAGGCUUGGCCUUAAAUGGCUCCAGCCGUUUGCGCGAGCGAGAAAGGAUAUGGACGAACAGAGAAAGCUGGGAGGAGGAGGAGAGAGAGGUCGAUGAGCAGCAGAGGAGCGCAGUCAAACCGGCAGUUUCACUUCGGUGCGAAAAACAGCAUAUGGAGCGACGGCGAGCCGGAGGUCACACAGCCGAGCAGCAAGAUCUCUCUUCCGUCCUGCUCCUCCUCCAGUCCUCUCCUCCAGUGCUCUCCUCCGGCCAGCGUGAGCUUGAGAGAGGUUGGUACCUGCAGGUAGCCAUGGACGGCCACCGCCGCGCGCCGCGCCAGAUUCUGGUGCUCGAGGAGGCGUUCAAGAAAUGUCCCCACCCCGACCAGACUCAGGUCGCAAAUCUCAGCCGCGAAACUGGCAUGGAGGUCCAUCAGAUCCAAUAUUGGUUCCAGACUCGGCGGGCGCAGAUCAAGCCAAGGCCCCCUUCGGGUUUGUAUCGUGUGCAUUUGUGGCUCUUGAGCCUUGGACCCCAGAUAGGGAGCACCAACUUGGUAGGCUGGUGUCUGAUGGCUCCGAUCUCACACUUGCUUGCUGCGGAUAUCAGAGAGCACUUGCAUAACAAGAGAUAUUUCAUUGUAAUCGACGACGAUAAGGAAACAGAUCACUGGAGUAUCAUGGAAUCUGAAUUUUGGUGCAAGUAG